AGUAAAAGACAUCAUGCUUGACAAUAUGGAUGGGUCUUAUCCAACCAGUUGAAAGUUUUAAGAGCAAUUAAGGUUUUCAAGGGAGAAAUCAAUUCUGAUGGAGACUGUAACAACAAAAUCCUGCCUCAGUUUCCACUCUACAAAGCUAAUCCAUAAAUAUCACCUUUCUUUUUACAAUUGUGUAGACUAACACCUUAAAGUAAAUACCUUAUCAUAGCCACCCUAAUGUAUGUCUUAUUGGUAACUUAUCUUUGAAAACUCUGAUUAAUACAAUAUGUUUGGUAAAGUGUUUAUUUACUGUACAAUUCUAUUCUCAUUUGACUCAAAGAAAUGUAGAGGACAGAUAUAGAAAAACACACCAAGGGAAUAUUGGGAUAAGCUCUGAGCAAUUGUCUUAGGUAAUGUAUUUAUUUAAACUUUCUUUUUGGAUAUAUUAUUUUCAAUAAUGUAAUUUCCCUUUGAGAUGAUGAAGAAAUACAGAAAACCUUCUUGUGGUUUUAUGAUGAUAAAUGCAAAUCUGAGGGGAAAGUAUGGGAAAGAGGAGAUCUCAUCAUUAAACUAGAGAUGUUUCUCAGUUAUGAGAGUGAAUAGAAAAGAAUAAAUAAACCACAUUUCAAAAUAUAUCAAAGUAUUUUAUAAACCUAUGGCAGUUUGUUUAAGGAAUGGAAAAAUUAAAUAUAAGAAUAUAUAUUUUCAACUGUCUUUUUUAUUUUUAAUACUCUAGAUAUUUUUCAUUGUGCCUUAUUCUAGGCUGCAUGUCAUUCUUGUUUUCUCAACUCACUGGGUCAGUGCCACACCUCAAGACUUCUGCAUAUAACUUCUUGCCACCAGUCAGGGAACCCAUUCCACACAUGGAGCAGCCCACAAACAGCAAACCAUGAAGACAAGCUCAGAGCUCUGUGAAUAUUCUGUCCUGAAAAAAAUCCACCACUAAUAUGAAGAUAGAUUUGGAGACACAAGUUGGACAAAGCCAGCCUGAAAUGACACAACUCAUGAUUUGUUUUUCUCUUCAAACAGGCUCAGUGCUGUCUAUGGCUAGUUAUAGAGGCCACAUGUCCUGGGCAAAAAUUGUUACUAAUGAUCUGACAAAGAAAAGUCUCAGAAUCAGCUAAUUUUAAAAAUCACGCUGAGUUUAAUAUAAUUGCUUUAAAACUCAUGCUUAGUGGUGGUUUUAAUAAGUUACCUUCAUUAAAAUGUAAAACAUGGUACGUAACUAAGACAACUUCUGAAAAUAGAGGGAAUAAAAUACUGGAUAGCCCAGAGACUGAAGGUAGAACCAAACAUGAUGACUGGCAAAAAACAAAAUCAAUGAAGUGAUUCCUAAUGAUAUUCUGCUGUAUUAAUAGAUCUGUGCCUUGUCCAGUCAUUGUCAGAGAGGCUUCAUUCAACAGCAGAUGGGAACAUAUGCAGAGACUCACAGCCACAUAUUAUAUAGAGAGAGUCUAAAUUGGAGAUUUCUACCCAUUUCCUCCCCUUGGAGAUCAGGGAAGUGUAGCAGGAAUCUUAAAUUGUCUUAUUAAUAAAAACAAACCUGGAGCCAGGUAUUGGGGUGAAUGCUGGAAGAUCAGAGAAGCAGAACAAGCCACAGUUACCUCACCUUGCCAAUUCCUCAGCUGAUCCUGUUUCCUCAGACUGGAAGCCUCUCAGUCCUUAUCCAAAAUGAAUCUCAGCUGAACUGUUGCUCGAAAGCCUAAAAGCAUAACCAGUCAAAUGCCUCUAGUUUCUGGUCUUCAUGCCUUAUAUAUCUUUCUGCUUUCUGCCGUCACUCCCUGGGAUCAAAGGCUCACUUCCUGGGAUUAAAGGUGUGAGUCCCCAUGCCUGGCUGUUUCCAAUGUGGCCUUGAACUCACAGAGAUCCAGAGGGAUUUCUGCCUCUGAAAUGCUAGGAUUAAUAGGCGUGUGCUACCACUACCUAUACUCUAUGUUUAAUAUUGUGGCUGUUCUGUUCCAUGACCCCAGACUAGUUUAUUAGCGUGCACAAUAUUUUGGGGAACACAAUACCACUACAGGAAAGCCUGAAGAAGAGGGGGAGGAAAGAUUGUAGGAGUCAGAGGGCAUGGAGGACACAGGAGAACAAGGGCCACCGAAUCAACUAAGCAGGGCUCGCAUGAGUUCACAGAGACUGAACCAGCAAGCAUGGGGUCUGCAUGGGUCUACACCAGGUCCUCUGAAUAUAUGUUAUGACUGUUAGCUUGGUGUAUUUGUGGGACUCCUAACAAUGGUAGUGAGUAUAUCUCUGACUCUUUUGCCUGCUCUUGGGACUCUUCUUCCUGUUGGGUUGCCUUGUCCAGUCUCAGUAUGAGGGCUUUUGCCUUGCCUUACUGUAUCUUGCUUUGUUCUCGUUGGAUGUCACCUCUUGGAGAUCUGCUCUUUUCUGAAGAGGAAACAUAGGGGGAGUGGAUCUUGAACAGAGGGGAAGUGGCAGGGGAAGCUGGAAGGAAUGGAGGGAAGGGAAACUAUGCUUGGAAUGUAUUGUAUUAAGGAAGAAUCUAUU